GAUGAUGGGAUUAAGCGUGCAGAGCAUGUUGGAUCUCGUGGUGGCUGGGGUUUCCCUUCUGAUUGGUUUGGGAAUUUUUGGUUUCAUUGCUUCAAUCCUAUGCUCUGCUGCGUUCUUCCUCAAUUCCAAGGACGUAUCCUAAAUCCUAAAUCCAUGCAAUAUUUGUACACGGAAUUGCUCGCUUAUGUAGAGUGGAGCCAUGUUGUUGUAAGAAUCAGAGUCUUUGAAAAAAGUUGAGGGGUACUAUUGCUUCCUGUAGUAGGAAUGUAGCCUCUGUUCAAUAUAGUCAAUAAAGUUCAGUGGUGAUAUUUA